rnacentral:rRNA from 1 species
ACAAUGGAGAGUUUGAUCCUGGCUCAGGAUGAACGCUAGCGGGAGGCCUAACACAUGCAAGCCGAGCGGUAGAGAUUCUUCGGAAUCUUGAGAGCGGCGUACGGGUGCGGAACACGUGUGCAACCUGCCUUUAUCUGGGGGAUAGCCUUUCGAAAGGAAGAUUAAUACCCCAUAAUAUAUUGAAUGGCAUCAUUUGAUAUUGAAAACUCCGGUGGAUAGAGAUGGGCACGCGCAAGAUUAGAUAGUUGGUGAGGUAACGGCUCACCAAGUCUACGAUCUUUAGGGGGCCUGAGAGGGUGAUCCCCCACACUGGUACUGAGACACGGACCAGACUCCUACGGGAGGCAGCAGUGAGGAAUAUUGGACAAUGGGUGAGAGCCUGAUCCAGCCAUCCCGCGUGAAGGACGACGGCCCUAUGGGUUGUAAACUUCUUUUGUAUAGGGAUAAACCUACUCUCGUGAGAGUAGCUGAAGGUACUAUACGAAUAAGCACCGGCUAACUCCGUGCCAGCAGCCGCGGUAAUACGGAGGGUGCAAGCGUUAUCCGGAUUUAUUGGGUUUAAAGGGUCCGUAGGCGGAUCUGUAAGUCAGUGGUGAAAUCUCACAGCUUAACUGUGAAACUGCCAUUGAUACUGCAGGUCUUGAGUGUUGUUGAAGUAGCUGGAAUAAGUAGUGUAGCGGUGAAAUGCAUAGAUAUUACUUAGAACACCAAUUGCGAAGGCAGGUUACUAAGCAACAACUGACGCUGAUGGACGAAAGCGUGGGGAGCGAACAGGAUUAGAUACCCUGGUAGUCCACGCCGUAAACGAUGCUAACUCGUUUUUGGGCUUUCGGGUUCAGAGACUAAGCGAAAGUGAUAAGUUAGCCACCUGGGGAGUACGUUCGCAAGAAUGAAACUCAAAGGAAUUGACGGGGGCCCGCACAAGCGGUGGAUUAUGUGGUUUAAUUCGAUGAUACGCGAGGAACCUUACCAAGGCUUAAAUGGGAAAUGACAGGUUUAGAAAUAGACUUUUCUUCGGACAUUUUUCAAGGUGCUGCAUGGUUGUCGUCAGCUCGUGCCGUGAGGUGUUAGGUUAAGUCCUGCAACGAGCGCAACCCCUGUCACUAGUUGCCAUCAUUAAGUUGGGGACUCUAGUGAGACUGCCUACGCAAGUAGAGAGGAAGGUGGGGAUGACGUCAAAUCAUCACGGCCCUUACGCCUUGGGCCACACACGUAAUACAAUGGCCAGUACAGAGGGCAGCUACACAGCGAUGUGAUGCAAAUCUCGAAAGCUGGUCUCAGUUCGGAUUGGAGUCUGCAACUCGACUCUAUGAAGCUGGAAUCGCUAGUAAUCGCGCAUCAGCCAUGGCGCGGUGAAUACGUUCCCGGGCCUUGUACACACCGCCCGUCAAGCCAUGGAAGUCUGGGGUACCUGAAGUCGGUGACCGUAAUAGGAGCUGCCUAGGGUAAAACAGGUAACUAGGGCUAAGUCGUAACAAGGUAGCCGUACCGGAAGGUGCGGCUGGAACAUCUCAUUUUAGA